AUACCUGCCCAGUGCGACAUAUUACUGUAAACGGCCGCCCUAGCGUGAGGGUGCUAAGGUAGCGAAAUUCCUUGCCUUUUAAUUGUAGGCCUGCAUGAAUGGUUUAACGAGGGUUAAGCUGUCUCUAAGUUUAUAAGUUGAAAUUGUAUUAAAGGUGAAGAUACCUUUAUUUUGAAGUUAGACAAAAAGACCCCGUGCAACUUUGAAAAUUAGCUUUAUUAAAAGGUGAGAGAUUUUUAGGUGGGGCGCCUAGAGAGCUAGUUCUAACCUCUUUUACUGAGUUAUUAAAACUUUCAAGUCUUGACCCGGUUACACCCGAUCAUAGGAGAAGUUACGCCGGGGAUAACAGGCUAAUCCUUUAGUAGAGCUCGUAUUGGCUAAAGGGAUUGGCACCUCGAUGUUGAAUCAGGGAUGAUACCUUUGAGGCGUA
rnacentral:rRNA from 1 species